AGGGGAAAAGGCACCAGAAUUCAGACGGAGCUUUAAAUUCCAGACAGGGCCAGCGUCGGGAGCACGUAGGAGGCGCCCCUCGGAAAGGAGCCGCAGACCCGGCUGACUUCGCACUUGAGCUCCAGCCCCGUGGACAUUUCCUGUUCUGCCUCUGGAAAUUCAAGCUGAAAGUUACAAAACAUCCUUUUCCCUGGAACCAAGUGCUUGGUUGGGAGACCAUGCCCUCCCCUUCCUUCCUCGGAACUCCUCCCUGAUCGCCCCGUGGCUUCCCCAGGAGAGAUGCGAAAUCAGCGGUAGCAGGUGGCGCAGAAGGGAGAGGGGAGCGACCCUGGGGACCGACUCUGGGGACCCCCGCCGAAGAGGUGAUUCUGGGUAUUAUGACCAUUCCUGCAGAAAAUAACUCUAAAAUCUGGACAUGAUACACAAAGUGACUGCCUAAAGGAGCUGAAGAGAGGACAUAAGUGGAUCGCCUCUGCUGUUGCAUGUUGGCUUGGAGAACAGAAGAUGAGGAGCCAAAUAAGCAAGUCCUUCAGCCCCAGGCUUCUAGCACGGGGCUGCAUGUAGGCUAUGCAUUCUGGGGAGUGAGGAGAUCAUGAAUGCUGAAAAUAAAUGAAGGAAUCCAGAAAAGCAAGAGUCAAAGAAGGCAUCUGCAGGCCAAAUCUCUGAUCAACCCCUGACCCACAUACACACAAAAUACACUCAAAGCAGCUCAGCUAAAGACAAAGAUCUGCACUCAGAGUAGAGCUGCCUCCCCAGAAACAGAGCUCGCAGUUCAGGCCCAGCAAGAAAAUUACCUGCAAAACACAGGAAAAACAACACUCAUCAGAGAAAAAGAACAGAAUCUGGAAUCUUCACAACCUAGCAUUCAUCAUAUCCAAGAUUGAAACCCAAAUUAUGGGACAUAUUUAAAAACCAGGAAAAUGGAACGUAGUCUUAAGAGAAAAGUCAAUCAAAUCUGACCUGGAGAUGAAUAAUAUAUUGAAACUUAAAGGGCAAGGGUUUUAAUUUUUGUUUUCUUGUUUUUUUUCUGUUUGUUUGUUUGUUUUUGUUUUUGUUUUUUGAGAUGGAAUCUUGCUC
rnacentral:lncRNA from 1 species